rnacentral:rRNA from 1 species
AGUGGCGGACGGGUGAGUAACGCGUGGGUAACCUGCCUCAUACAGGGGGAUAACAGUUAGAAAUGACUGCUAAUACCGCAUAAGACCACAGCACCGCAUGGUGCAGGGGUAAAAACUCCGGUGGUAUGAGAUGGACCCGCGUCUGAUUAGGUAGUUGGUGGGGUAACGCCUACCAAGCCGACGAUCAGUAGCCGACCUGAGAGGGUGACCGGCCACAUUGGGACUGAGACACGGCCCAA